AUGAGAAUAUGUCAGAAACCAGCAGUUUUACACUGGAUCUUGUACCAACGAUGAAGGGCGGCAAGGACCGGGAGGAGGAGGCACAGCGUUCUCUCCUGAGCGUAAAGCUGGCUCUUGGUGUUGCUUUACUGCAAUUACCACUUGCAGUAAAUGAUGAUGAUGAUUGUUAUUCUCUUCCUUCCAGAGAGUAAGAGGGAGAGAAUACAGUCUGAGUGGU
rfam:Otolemur garnettii contig053674, whole genome shotgun sequence.